GACCUUGAAUAACUGAAAAUGUGGAAAGCCAAAUCAUGGACAAGGAGGAUCACGAUACUAUCUCUGCACUUUUGUAGUUCUUGCCAGGGGAGACUGUUGCUGGAACGAAGCAUUCGCUGACACCUGGGCCACUCUCGCUCAGCCAGGAGGUCACCCUGCUGGCUCGCCCUCAGGUGCGGAGAAAAUCAGUCACACUCUGCAUGGGAAGCCCAGGCUAAGAAUACGAUGGGGAAACAGAGGAUCUGGGAAGACAAGCAAUUUGCUCAAGAUUACUUCAUUGGCAGAAUUGGACUUUUGACAGAGCUCACCCUGCCUGACCCACCAGGACACAAGGGAGCAUCCUGAAGGGAUUUGAAAGUGACUUCAGAACCCUGGAGAGCAGGGCUGAGCCUGGCUGGAAAGGCAGGAGGGGUGGUAUGGGGGAGGGCCAGGUCCUCCUGGCAGAGCUCAACGCAGCCCUGCCCUGCUCUGGCCAGUGCUCAGCCCCUGCCAAGAGGAGGCGGGAUGGAUGCCCUCCCUCCAGGAGAGAGACGUCUGCAGAGUGAGCCACCCAUUGCCCACCUUCUACGUGACACAAUUGGCACACAGCACUGGGGAACUCUUGGGGACUAGUCUUUCAGAUGUCACCAGCCCACAGGCCCAGCAAUGCCUGGCCUCCAAGCAAUCCUGGGAUGUCUGUGUCUGUCGUCCAUAAAGCUCCCCUGCAGCUUAUCCUGCCCAACAGAAGUUCCCAUGGCUAAAGAGCUGGGCUGGGCUCUGUGACCUCCCUUUGUCUUGCCUCAGGCCACCCAGACAACAGGUGCUGAGCACCCACCUGCUAUUACUGUAGAGACAGCCAGGCAGGGCCUGGUGGAUUCCGCUGGGGCUGAGAAACUUCCAUGGGAUGCACACAGUUGUAGAGCCAGGUGGCCCUGAAUGAAACCCUGGUGCCUCCUCUCAUUAGCUGUGUGGCCCUGGGCAAGACAUGGUGUCUUGUUAAACAUCAUUGUUCAUGUUUGUAAAAAGGGAUUGAUCAUAUUUCCAUAGUUUUGGAGGAAUCAGAAAAUUUGUGUAUGGAUCCAUCCUGCUAUGGUUUGGAUGUUUUGCUCCUCCCGUGUUCACAGGCUGGAACCCCAGUGUGCCAGUGUUGAAGUGGUGGAACCUUGGAGGGGGACUAGUGGAGGGCAUUAGGUCAUGCGGCUCAACUCUCAUGGGUAGGCUAGGUGGAAUUUUCCCCUUUCCCCAUUCCUGUCCUGCUCCAGCAUAACAAGCAAAAAUGGCCCCUAAGGGGCAGAAUCUCUUCCUGAGGAGAACAACAGCUCUGAGGCCUAGAAUCUGUGACUUAAAGGAAGUGAUCCCUAGUCCUUCGCUGCAUGGACAGAGGGGGAUCUCUUUACGGUGUCUUUGACUCAAACACUUUCCUCACUCAUCCAGUCUCACCCCAAUCCGGAGAGCUCGAAGCCAGGUCCUGCGUCUUAACACCAGCUGGCUACAUGACCCCGGGUGAGAUGAACGGCCACUCUGGGCCUUGGCGUGCUCAUCUGUAAAAUGACAGUAGUUUAGAUGAGCUCUAAGAUUUGGUGAGCCUGUGUGUUGACGCUCAGCCUCUUAUUUUGUAACUGAAGAAAUGACAUUCAGAAACAAGCCGUUCUUUUAAGGUCACAUAGCUAACCACUGGCAGGGCCAUUACUGCAGCCCAGGUCUCUGACGUUGGCACAUUCCCCCCUUGUCUUAUGACCUCCUUGAAUUAGAAGCAUUGCUUCCUUGUGCUAAAGAGAGGAUGAAAAAUGGAAAGUGACGAGCCAUUGAGUGAGCCAGGCGAUGGCGAAAACCUUCUCUGUUAGUAAUAGCAGCACCCACGAUGAGACUCCAGUGAGCCAACUGCAGCUGACAGAAACAUGGGCCUAAUUGGCUCUUUCAAGACAGUGGAGAAUCUGAGGGUGACGGAUUGCACGCUGUUUAGUGGCGGGAUGCUGUGACAGAGGGCUGCAAAUGCCACUCCGGGGAUGUGUUAAUGAAGGCUCCGCAUGCACAACACGCGCAGCAAUUAUUCUGUUCUCCCUGGCACCAGCUCCUCCUGGCAGGAGAGCUGCCCGCGGGGCUGGAAGGAGUUCAGUAGAAAGUUCACUGAGAGCCAGAUGGAACAGGAACAGAACUUGCUGUUGGGAUCAGCCAUCACCAAAAACAUUCAAAAUGCGAGUCCGUCUGCCCUUCCGUAUCCCGGAGGACGUGAGGAGGUGGCAGGAGGAGGUGGAGCCUUCCAGUGGUGGACAGAGAUUCCGGCUGCUUCUGGCUUGCGUGGAAGAUGCCGACCCUGUUAGCUCCACGGGUCUGGGGCCACCUUCACCCCUGGCCUGGAGAUGGCAUCGAGAUGGGGUGCAGGGAGCCAUCCCGGGACAACACGCGGCUGGGCAGGCGACUCAGGAGGGGGAGGGAGGCAGUUUAGUUUGCAGUGGCAGUGCCCCGCCUCUUUCUCCCAGGAUGCCAUAGGGGAAAGACUCUUCUGGGCACCAGAAAGGACUUGUCUCCUUCCUCCUGCUUGGGGCCAGCCUGUCA